CCAAACACCUAAUCGACUCACUUUCCUAGUUUAUCUUUUCAGUUCUCAAUUCCCUCUCUCGGUUCUCUUCUCCACUCUUCAACUUAGAGUUCAGAUUCACUCUUCAAAGAUCAAAUCACCACCAGUAACAACGUCUAAUCACCACCAGUAACACCAACAAGGCAACAACCUGAGGAAAACUGUCUUAGACUAGAAGCUCGCCUAAGAGGAAAUCAAUUGAAAGAUUGAUUAAAGGAGAAACUAUCUUGUUAGAUAGGUUAACAUGGAUGAAAUCUCACAAGAUAAUUCUAUUCCAAAUCUUCCAGUCAUACAUGGAGUCACACCGCAAAGGGAGCAUAUUCUCAACCUUCAUCAUAUUGUGGAGCAAGUGACAGUGCAACUAAGAAGGUUAAAGUUGGUGUAAGGAAAUCUUGGGUGCGCGAGCACUUUGAUAUUUUAGAGUCUGGUGCUAGAGCAAAAUGUAAGCAUUGUCCAAAGGGUCUGGGUAUAUACAAGAUUGGUGAUAAAUCAUAUGGGACUGCCAAUCUUAGUCGUCAUUUGGAGGAAUGCAAUGAAUAUAAGAAAACAAUAAAUAAGGAACCGAGACUACGAACACUAGAUUUUCAACCUUGCAACCUGAAAGAGCACUUUGCUGCUUGGUGAGCUUGUUGCAGUAUUAGAGCUUACAUGGUUUUAGUUAUAGUUGCAGACUUGCAGUAUUAGUCUGCAAUAUUAAAUUUUGAAUAUAUUGUAUAAUUUUGAAUGUUGGAACUUAAAUUUUAAGAUAACUGAAUGGUGAUU